rnacentral:rRNA from 1 species
UACGCAGGGUGCGAGCGUUGUCCGGAAUUACUGGGCGUAAAGAGCUCGUAGGUGGUUUGUCGCGUUGUUCGUGAAAACUCACAGCUUAACUGUGGGCGUGCGGGCGAUACGGGCAGACUGGAGUACUGCAGGGGAGACUGGAAUUCCUGGUGUAGCGGUGAAAUGCGCAGAUAUCAGGAGGAACACCGGUGGCGAAGGCGGGUCUCUGGGCAACUACUGACGCUGAGGAGCGAAAGCGUGGGGAGCGAACAGG